rnacentral:rRNA from 1 species
UACGUAGGGUCCGAGGCGUUGUCCGGAAUUAUUGGGCGUAAAGAGCUCGUAGGCGGUUUGUCGCGUCUGCUGUGAAAUCUAGAGGCUCAACCUCUAGCGUGCAGGUGGGUACGGGGCAGACUGGAGUGGUGUAGGGGCAACUGGAAUUCUCGGUGUAGCGGUGAAAUGCGUAGAGUAUCGAGAGGAACACCUGCGGCGAAGGCGGGUUGCUGGGCUGACACUGACGCUGACAGCGCGGAAAGCUAGGGGAGCGAACAGG